UUUUUACUUUUCUUGUUUUGGCAGUGUUAUAAAUAAUAUUGAAAACAUUGAAGUAUUAAAUUAUUAUUAGCAUGUUCCAACAAUAUUUUGUCAAGGUUCGGCGUGAGAUUCAAGAGGAAGGACAGAAACAAUCUUGAAAUGUUGGAGAUUUUUUCUAGUUAUAUUAUAUUGAUACUUUGAUCCUUGUUCCUCAAUUCUGAUUUGAACCUUACAGAUUUAUAAAAGUCGUUCUAAAUUCUACUGAUAGAAAUGCAUUUAAAUUUAUCUUACCAGUGAUGAUAUAUAUUUAUGAAUAUUUUACUUACAAUGUACAUUAUUUAACCGAGCUUAGUGUUUUCUCAUUGUGGUUCUAACAUAUAAUAUCCUUAAUUAAUGUAAUUGAUUUCUUGAAUCAAACAUUUUUGAUCUGAAACCGACAAAAUUUAUGAAUUAUUUAAUCGAAAAUUACAAAUUAUGUAUUUAAGAGGUUUAUUUGUUACAAUUUUACUAUUUGAUGUGAUCUGUAUUAUCUGUAUCUAUGAUGGAUUGCA